rnacentral:rRNA from 1 species
CCCAGACUCCUACGGGAGGCAGCAGUGGGGAAUAUUGCACAAUGGGGGAAACCCUGAUGCAGCGACGCCGCGUGGGCGAGGAAGUACCUCGGUAUGUAAAGCCCUAUCAGCAGGGAAGAAACAGGACAGUACCUGACUAAGAAGCCCCGGCUAACUACGUGCCAGCAGCCGCGGUAAUACGGAGGAUGCGAGCGUUAUCCGGAUUUAUUGGGUUUAAAGGGUGCGCAGGCGGAAUGUCAAGUCAGCGGUAAAAUUUCGGGGCUCAACCCCGUCGUGCCGUUGAAACUGGCGUUCUUGAGUGGGCGAGAAGUAUGCGGAAUGCGUGGUGUAGCGGUGAAAUGCAUAGAUAUCACGCAGAACUCCGAUUGCGAAGGCAGCAUACCGGCGCUCAACUGACGCUCAUGCACGAAAGCGUGGGUAUCGAACAGGAUUAGAUACCCCGGUA